UGACUAUUCUGUCCUUCCCUGUGCUC
rnacentral:piRNA from 1 species